rnacentral:rRNA from 1 species
CCGGAGCUUGCUCCACCGGAAAAAGAGGAGUGGCGAACGGGUGAGUAACACGUGGGUAACCUGCCCAUCAGAAGGGGAUAACACUUGGAAACAGGUGCUAAUACCGUAUAACAAUCAAAACCGCAUGGUUUUGAUUUGAAAGGCGCUUUCGGGUGUCGCUGAUGGAUGGACCCGCGGUGCAUUAGCUAGUUGGUGAGGUAACGGCUCACCAAGGCCACGAUGCAUAGCCGACCUGAGAGGGUGAUCGGCCACAUUGGGACUGAGACACGGCCCAAACUCCUACGGGAGGCAGCAGUAGGGAAUCUUCGGCAAUGGACGAAAGUCUGACCGAGCAACGCCGCGUGAGUGAAGAAGGUUUUCGGAUCGUAAAACUCUGUUGUUAGAGAAGAACAAGGAUGAGAGUAACUGUUCAUCCCUUGACGGUAUCUAACCAGAAAGCCACGGCUAACUACGUGCCAGCAGCCGCGGUAAUACGUAGGUGGCAAGCGUUGUCCGGAUUUAUUGGGCGUAAAGCGAGCGCAGGCGGUUUCUUAAGUCUGAUGUGAAAGCCCCCGGCUCAACCGGGGAGGGUCAUUGGAAACUGGGAGACUUGAGUGCAGAAGAGGAGAGUGGAAUUCCAUGUGUAGCGGUGAAAUGCGUAGAUAUAUGGAGGAACACCAGUGGCGAAGGCGGCUCUCUGGUCUGUAACUGACGCUGAGGCUCGAAAGCGUGGGGAGCAAACAGGAUUAGAUACCCUGGUAGUCCACGCCGUAAACGAUGAGUGCUAAGUGUUGGAGGGUUUCCGCCCUUCAGUGCUGCAGCUAACGCAUUAAGCACUCCGCCUGGGGAGUACGACCGCAAGG